rnacentral:snRNA from 1 species
UUAAACUUUUUUUAUUGGUUGUUCAAAAUUGGAAGGAUACAGAGAAGAUUAGCAUGGCCCCUGUGCAAGGAUGACACACAAAUUCGUGAAGCGUUCCACAUUUUU